rnacentral:rRNA from 1 species
UCAGACGAUGCGUCAUGCAUAUCAAUAAGCGGAGGAAAAGAAACUAACAAGGAUUCCCUUAGUAACGGCGAGUGAAGCGGGAAGAGCUCAAAUUUGAAAUCUUGAAAGGUCACCUUUCACGAAUUGUAGUUUAAAGAAGUGUUUUCUGUUACGAUCGUAAUAUAAGUUCUUUGGAAUAGGACAUCACAGAGGGUGAGAAUCCCGUCUAUGAUUGCGAUUUGUAGCUUUGUGAUACACUUUCAAAGAGUCGGGUUGUUUGGGAAUGCAGCCCAAAACGGGAGGUAAAUUUCUUCUAAGGCUAAAUAUUGGCGAGAGACCGAUAGCGAACAAGUACCGUGAGGGAAAGAUGAAAAGAACUUUGAAAAGAGAGUUAAAUAGUACGUGAAAUUGUCAAAAGGGAAGCGUUUAACACCAGUGUUGUUUUCUGAAAAUCAACCUCUGUUAGCUUUAUGCAUGUUUGUUUAGACCUAAUCAGCUAUCUUGCAUGUUCUAUUGUUUGCAGUGGUGCACUUUUCAGUUUACAGGUCAACAUCAGUUUUUUUUACCGUAAAAAAGUUAAAGAAAGGUAGCUCAUGGCUCCGGUCGUGAGUGUUAUAGUCUUUUUCCUAUGCGGUAGGAGAGACUGAGGUCUGCAGUGUAGGCUAUUUGGCUAGAUACUCAGGUGCUAUGUGAUACCAUUUCAUAAACAACUUGUUGAUUAUGUUUUGUCUAUUGCAUACUCGCUUGUACUAUCAUACCUACGCUUAGGAUGUUGAAGACUCUACAGAGAUA